AGCAGGUGUGUUAUCUUGUUAUUAUAGAACAGGUGUGUUAUCUUGUUAUUAUAGAGCAGGUGUGUUAUCUUGUUAUUAUAGAACAGGUGUGUUAUCUUGUUAUUAUAGAACAGGUGUGUUAUCUUGUUAUUAUAGAACAGGUGUGUUAUCUUGUUAUUAUAGAGCAGGUGUGUUAUCUUGUUAUUAUAGAGCAGGUGUGUUAUCUUGUAGGCGGAAAGUAGGAACAGAGAGACAUGAUCUGAUUUGCCCGAAGUGGGGACAAGGAAUGACUGUGUACCCAUCACAGAUAUUUGUAUAUAUACUGAACAAAAAUAUAAACACAACAUGCAACAAUUUUAAAGAUUUUACUGAGUUACAGUUCACAUAAGGAAAUCGGUCAAUUAAAUUAAAUUCAUUAGGCUCUAAUCUAUGGAUUUCACAUUACUGGGCAGGGGUGCAGCCAUGGGUGGGCCUGGGAGGGCAUAGGCCCACCCACUUGGCAGCCAAGCCCACCCACUGGGGAGCCAGGCCCAGCCAAUCAGAAUUAGUUUUCCCCCCACAAAGGGGCUUUAUUAUUAAAUACUCCUCAGCACCCCGUUUGAGGUCAUUUGGACAUACUGCCAAAUUCUCUAAAAUGACGUUGGAGGCGGUUUAUGGUAGAGAAAUGAACAUUGAAUUAUCUGGCAACAGCUCUGCUGGACAUUCUUGCAGUAAGCAUGCUCCCUCAAAACUUGAGACAUCUGUGGCAUUGUGUUGUGUGAGAAAACUGCACAUUUUAGAGUGCCAUUUUAUUGUCCACAGCACAAGGUGCAAUUGUGUCAUGAUCGUGCUGUUUAAUCAGCUUCUUGAUAUGCCCCACCUGUCAGGUGGAUGGAUUUUCUUGGCAAAGGAGAAAUACUCGCUAACAGGAAUGUAAACAAUUGUGUGCACAUCAUUUGAGAGUAAUUAGCUUUUUGUGCAUAUGGAACAUUUCUGGGAAUUUGUUUUUCAUCUCAUGAAACAUGGGACGAACACUUACAUGUUGCAUUUAUAUUUUUGUUCAGUGUACAUAGUCCAGCAAGUUGUUUCCUUUCGUGUGGCAGGAUACAUGUUGGUGAUAUAUUGGAAAAAUGUGUUUUAAACGUGCGUAACGCGUAAAAUCACCUGCAAAUUAAGACUGCUUCCGGGUGAGAGGAUUCUUGCUGGCUAAAGUUAUUUUACAGUUCGCUGAGGGCCGCCUUGGUGUUUGCUCGUGGUGGUAUGUACACAGCUGUGAUAAGAACACACAUGAAUUCCCUCUGCAUAUGGUGGGGUUGGCAUUUUAGCAUCAGAAACUCCAGGUCAGGUGAACAGGAGCUCAACAUCUACUGGAUGUCAUAAGGUGAAUGCACCAAUUUGUAAGUCGCUCUGGAUAAGAGCGUCUGCUAAAUGACUUAAAUGUAAAUGUAAUAUGUUUUUGUCUUUGUCACGCCUUGGUCUUAGUAUUUUGUGUUUUCUUUCUUUAUUUGGUCAGGCCAGGGUGUGACAUGGGUAAUUGUGGUGUGUUUUUUUGUCUUGGGGUUUUGUGGGGUGACUAAUUAGUCUAUGGCUGCCUGAGGCGGUUCUCAAUCAGUCAGGUGAUUUAUCGUUGUCUCUGAUUGGGAACCAUAUUUAGGCAGCCAUAUUCUGUGAGUGUUUUCGUGGGUGAUUGUUCCUGUCUCUGUGUUAGUUGACACCAGACAGGCUGUAUAGGUUCUCUUUCCGUUUGUUGUUUUGUAUAUAUAUAGUUAUUUCAUGUAUCGUUCUAUUUCAUUAAAAAACAUGAGUAACCACCA